AACGAACGCUGGCGGCAUGCCUAACACAUGCCAGUCGAACGAGACCUUCGGGUCUAGUGGCGCACGGGUGCGUAACGCGUGGGAACCUGCCCUUAGGUUCGGAAUAACUCCCCGAAAGGGGUGCUAAUACCGGAUAAUGUCUUCGGACCAAAGAUUUAUCGCCUUUGGAUGGGCCCGCGUUGGAUUAGCUAGUUGGUAGGGUAAAAGCCUACCAAGGCGACGAUCCAUAGCUGGUCUGAGAGGAUGAUCAGCCACACUGGGACGGGGACCAGGCCCAGACACUACGGGGAGGAGGGGGUGGGGAAUAUUGAGCAAGGGGCGAAGGCCGAACCCGGCAUUGCCGGGGGGGGAAGAAAGGCCUUGGGGUUGAAAACCUCUUUUCCCCGGGAGGAUAAGAAGGGACCCGGAGAAAAAGCCCCGGGCAAAUCCCUG
rnacentral:rRNA from 1 species